AUUGAACGCUGGCGGCAUGCUUUACACAUGCAAGUCGAACGGUAACAGGCCUUCGGGUGCUGACGAGUGGCGAACGGGUGAGUAAUGCAUCGGAACGUACCCAGAGGUGGGGGAUAACGCAGCGAAAGCUGUGCUAAUACCGCAUGUGAUCUGAGGAUGAAAGCGGGGGACCGAGCAGCAAUGUUUGGCCUCGCGCCUUUGGAGCGGCCGAUGUCGGAUUAGCUAGUUGGGGGGGUAAAGGCCUACCAAGGCGACGAUCCGUAGCUGGUCUGAGAGGACGACCAGCCACACUGGGACUGAGGCACGGCCCAGACUCCUACGGGAGGCAGCAGUGGGGAAUUUUGGACAAUGGGCGCAAGCCUGAUCCAGCAAUGCCGCGUGCGGGAAGAAGGCCUUCGGGUUGUAAACCGCUUUUGGCAGGAACGAAACGGUGUCCGCUAAUACCGGGCGCUAAUGACGGUACCUGCAGAAUAAGCACCGGCUAACUACGUG
rnacentral:rRNA from 1 species